rnacentral:rRNA from 1 species
CAAAAGACGCCUUACCCCCAACUCAGUGAAAAUAUCUAAACUGAAUAAAAGCAAAGAUCCU